GGAGCAUGGACUGGUAGAGGGCCCAACGCCCAACAACCUAGGGCAGCAACUGGAUCCCAGGUAGGAAACAGGAGGGUGGCUGAAAUUGUAUAUUUUCCGUGUGUGUCUGUUUGUGUGUGUAUAGCUGUUUGCAUGUGUAUCAGUCUGUGUGUGUGUCUGUAUGUAUAUCUCUCUGUAUGUGUAUAUGCAUGUGUCUGUUUAUCUGUGUGUAUGUAUGUGUAUCUGUCUGUAUUUGUAUCUGUGUAUAUGUCUAUGUGUAUCUGUGUGUCUCUAUCCUUCUAUAUGUGUAUCUGUAUGUGUCUCUGUAUGCAUAUUUGUGUGUGUUUCUACCUGUACGUGUGUCUAUAUGUGUGUCGGUGUGUGCCCCUCUGUAUCUGUGUGUGUCAAUGUUUGCAUCUAUAUGAGUGUCAUCCUGUGUAUCUAAAUGUUUGUCAUUAAGUGUGUCUGUGUACCUGCAUGUAUGUCAGUGUGUCUGUAUGUGUAUCUCUGUGUCUGUAUGUGUGUCUGUGAAUCUGCAUGUGUGUCAGUGUGUGCCCCUGUGUAUCUGUCCGUGUCUUUUUAUCUGUAUGUGUGUUAGUGUGUGUCUAUGUAACUGCAUGGUUGUCCGUGUAUGUAUCUAUAUGUGUGUUAUUGUGUGUCAGGGUGUAUUUAUAUGUGUGUGUGUCUGCAUGUUUGUCAGUGAGUGUAUCUGUGUAUCUGUAUGUGUGCAAGUGUGUAUCUGUGUAUGCACCUCUGUGUCUGUGUAUCUGUCAUUGGAUAUAUGUACCUGUGUAUGUCUGUACGUGUGUCAGUGUGUGUAUUUUCUCUAGUUGAAAAAUAAGUGUGGCUAAGUCUACGAUCUGUGUGUGUGUGUUUUUUUGUGUGUUUUCUUUAUGUGUGUCUUUGGGUGGAAGGCGUGUUUGCAUGCUACAAGGUGGGAGGGAGGGGACCAGGGGGCCCAAGUUUUCCCAGGGUCCAAUCAACAUUAAAGACGGCCCUGAUCACAGGUGUUCUUUCAGAAAUCUAUAUCUAUCAGAACACCGGCGGGAAGGCAACAGUUUAACGCAAGUAAAUUAGCUGGAAUAAAUGCUGAAUGGUAUCGGGUACUACCAAGGUCACAUUGUACAGAGAAGCAGGAAACUCAAAUUAGUAGGAACUGUUGUGAUGGUAACGGCUACUUUCCAUCCUGCUAAACGACCUUUGAUGUAGCUGGAUGCAUGUGCUUACGAAGGUUACACGGUACGGAGAAAAGCAGCACAAGGAAAACUCAAAUCAGUUAACCCCUUAGUGACAAGACCGUUCUUCAGUUUUCUUACCGUUAAGGACCAGGGCUCCUUUUACAUUUCUGCGGUGUUUGUGUUUAGCUGUAAUUUUCCUCUCACUCAUUUACAGUAUAUAUAUUUCUCUCCAUUAAAUGAUCUUUAUAAAGAUACCAUUAUUUUCAUCAUAUCAUAUAUUUUACUAUAAUAUUUUUUUAUAAAAUAUGAUAAAAAAAACACACACUUUUUCUAACUUUGACCUUCAAAAUCUUUUACACAUCUACAACCGCCAAAAAACACCUGUGCUAAAUAGUUUUAAAAUUUUCUCCUGAGUUUAGAAAUACCCAAUAUUAACAUGUUCUUAGCUUUUUUGGGAAAGUUAUAGGGCUAUAAGUACAAGUAGCACGUUGCUAUUUCCAAACCAUUUUUUUUUUUUCAAAAUUAAUACAGGUUACAAUGUAACACUGAUAUCUGUCAGGAAUCCCUGAAUAACCCUUCAGAUAUAUAUAUUUUUUAAAAGAAGACAACCUAAGGUAUUAAACUUGUGGUGUUUUGACUCUUUUCAUGCAGCUAUGUUACCAUCAAUGUAUGCCACAUUAAAAAAUUAAUAAUAAUUGGUGAUUUGUUUGACACACAUAGCAAUUUAAGAAUAUAUGUACGGAGAACUUUAUUUGGAGGGUGCGCAUUCCAGUUUUCCAACUUGGAAUUUUCUCAGCUGGUCAUCAUGCACCCAUGUCCUAUUUUGAACAUUUUAGAAGGCGGCGAAUGUAAAUUACCCCAAUCAAACCAUAUAUUUUUGAAAAGUAGACACCCUAGGCUAUUUCAAAUGGUGGUAUUUUAACACUUUCCAUGCACUAAUUCUACCACCAGUCUUUUUCAAACUUUGGGUAGUCAUUUUUUUGUGUUAUUUUUCUUUUCACAUUGUACUUUAGGCAUGGAUUCUCAGUUCCUGUUAUGUGUUACUGACAAAGAACACCCCAAUAUGUGUUCAGCAACAUCUCCCGAGUACAACAGUGCCCCCAAUGUAUAGGUUUUAUAUAUAAAAUAUAUGCUACAUUCGCAAGAUUUAUUUAUGGCACUGUUAUAAUUCAUAUUAUUAAUAUAUAUUUGGGCCAGUAAGUGAAUGAAUAGCAGCUUUCUCUAUACAUUACUUUAUUACAGCAUAGUUGUAAUUAAUGCCUAGGGCAUCUGUAUGCCUUUACAUAUGCCAGUAGACAAAUGGUUAAUUUACACCUCUUUAGUAUGCGCCGUUUAUAACACGGUCCAGUGCCCGCUAGUAAUGUAACCUAUCCCCUCCUCAGUUUUGAACAGUGAGACAUCCAAAUAUUGGAUGCUGUUGGCAUCAUAAGUCAGCGUGAGUUUUAUAGGUAGCGGUAGGGAAUUUUUAUUUAUUUUCUAUGUAUUAUACAAUUUUGGGCUGUAGUCCAUAUGGUGCUUUCGGAUUAGUACCAACUAUUUACAUGUUUAAUACUAUUAUCUGAAUGUAGUGAGUAACAGUCACUCUAGUAGGUAAUAACAAGUUAAUUGUAAGUGAAUGCCGUUUGCCAUAUUUCUACGAUUUUGAAUAGUAUCGACAAAACAGACACUUCUGGUAUUCGAGUAGAAUAGGUCACUUUAUUGUGUAAUCUUGUUUUUUUUUUUUUAUUACUAUUGUUAUUUUCAUUAAUUGAUUGGGAAGACAGCAGCUUCCCUAGUAUGAGCUGUUUAUAACAUAUUAGCUGGUAUCGGCUAAAUCUGUAGAGAGUAUCCAUACACUUGUUAGGCACAUAUUCAAUAAUAUAGAUUUUGUCCAGAAUAAUGUGUAUAGUGUUUGUUAGAUGACAUAAGAUACUAUGUUUAAGUUGGCAUUCAUGGGUUUGCUAGAUAUACCUGUGACAAAAGUUACCAGGUUCCUGCCUCAUGACUAUAGGCCCUGCAAUAUACCUUGCCCAAUGCACUUUAAAAUACUCUGUUCCUGUGAAGUAUGUACACUUGUACUCCAGACAAAGAGACCGGUAGCCCUAAUUCUCUGGAACUUUUUUGGGCAUGGGACCAUGUGCACAGUGGGUCAAAAAAAGACUUCCAGGAAUUUCCUGAACCCCUGCUCUGAUCUGGGUGAUUUUGGAUAUGUUGUUCACCCAGAUAUGGUCUAUCAGUGGAUGUGGGGAUAUGUUAUGUUUUGGGGUACUUAUUGGACUUUGUAAAAAUUAGUUUUUUCUGCCUGCAGAUAAUUGAGUUACUUACAGGACUUUUAAAACAAAAACUGGCAUUUUACUGGUGAUAUCAUCGUUGUGAUAAGUUUCACUGUGUUGAAAAACUCAUAUUUGUAUUCAGCAAAGUCUCCUGAGUAUAACAAAACCCCCUAUGUUCACAUUUUAUGGUGUUUUGAAGAGUUACAGGGUCAAUUAGACAUGUGCAAUUCUUUCGGUCCGAAUGUUAAUUCGGAUAAAUUUCGGGUACUUCCGAAUGUCCGAAUAGAUGAAUUGCCGAAGUUGCCGAAGGCUUAUAAAGCCUUGCCCUGCCCUGCAAUUAGGCUCAGAGCACUCUGAUUGGUGGGUUUAAGCCAUCCAAUCAGAGUGCUCUGACAGGUAAAUGAAGAGACUGACAGGUAAGUCAUUUAUCUGUCACAGCACUCUGAUUGGUUGGCUUGAAAUCCACCAAUCAGAGUGCUCUGUGUCAUUUUACACAGCGUGGGAAAGGUCUUUGGAAUUUUUCCAUGCUGUGUAAUUUGACUCGUAACACUGAUCGGUGGAUUAAGUAACCAAUCAGAGAGUUAUGAGUCAAACCCACCAAUCAGAGUGCUCUGAGCCUAAUUGCAGGGCGGGGCAAGGCUUUAUAUGCCUUCCCCCGCCCUGCAGAGCUCAGUCUGCACGGAGCCCUCCAUAGGUGAAGGAGGAUUGGGGUUUUUUUGCGCUCGUUUUUUGCUUCGGUUAUUAUGGAUUUUUAUUUGGCCUUUUUUGGGGCUGAAAAAAGAAGAUUUUAGAAGAAAGAAAACAUCAAAUAGUAAGUUUAAUUUAAAUUUUUUUACAGGUGCCCCCUUCAUUAUUUUUAGGGUGAGGGGGAUAGGUAGGGGUUAGUUUUUUUUUGGGAGGGGGUGACUAGGGUUUGGGGGACCCCUAGUCACCUGGGGGGGUAAAUAUUUAUUUAGGGCCCCCACCCGCCACUCAGGGGUGAGACAAUAGGUCCCCCAUUGGUAUUCAGGGCCCCCACCCACCAGUCAGGGCUGAGGACAUUAGGUCCCCCCUUUAAGUAUUUAGGGCCCCUGUUCUAUCAAAUUUCCCUACCCCGUUAGAAAACCCUACCCGCGUCACUUCCGGUGACGAAGCCGCACCGGAAGUGACGUUGGGACGGGGGUGUGCGCUGCCGCGCAGGCGCACACAACCGAGGUAGGGAUUUUUCACUUUGAGGAGAGACCCUGAAGGCAUAGUGCGCACGCGCGGCACAGUACUCCCGUCGGAGGUACAGCGCGCGUGCGCACUUGGGGACAUGGAGCGCUUCACACACCGCGCAUGCGCAGUAUAGGGGUAGGGAAAUCUGAUGGCCAUUAAGCCGUGUGAAAUCUCCCUACCUCUAUACUGCGCAUGCGCGGACUCUGAUCGUGUGGGUAAAGCCUUUUCUGGGAUUAGGUCAGUCUCUCCCUGCUCCCAACACUCUCAGCCAUCCGAGGGGAGGGGGUACUAUAUUAGGGGGGUUUCAGUGCAUUAUAUUGGGGAGUGGGGUUUUUUAGUACAUUAUUAUGGGGGGGGGGUCUGCCCUGUAUGGGGGUCUGCGCUGUAGGGGGUCUGGCGCUGUAUGGGGGGUCUGCGCUGUAGGGGGGGUCUGGCGCCUAUGUGGGGGGUCUGCUGUAUGGGGGGAGCGUCUAUAGGGGCUAUAUAUGGGGGUCUGCGCUGUAUAGGGGAGUCUGCGCUGGAUAGGGGGUCUGCGCUGUAUAGGGUCUGGCGCUAUAUAUGGGGCGCCUCGCUGUAUGGGGGUCGGUAGGGGGAGUCUGCGCCAUAGAGGGGUCUGUGCUGUAUGGGGAGUCUGCGCCAUAUAUGGGGGUCUAAUGGGGGGUCUGUAUAGGGUCUGGGCUUGUAUGGGGGUCUGCACUGUAUAGGGAUGGUCUAGCUGUAUAGGGGUGGUCUAAGCUGUAUGGGGGUCGCUUAAGGGGUCUGCUGUAUAGGGUCUAUAUAUAUGGGGGUCUGGCGCUUAUAUAUGCUGUAUAGGGGUCCUAUAUAUGGGGGUCUGUAUAUGGGGGUCUGCUUGUAUGGGGGGUCUGCGCUCAUGCUAUAGGGUCUGGCGCUGUAUAGGGGGUCUGCGCUGUAUGGGGGCCUGGCGCUGUACAGGGGGCUGCGCUUAUAUAGGGGGUCUGCGCCAUGUAGGGGGGUCUGCUUAUAUAUGGGGGUCUGCGCUGUAUAGGAGGGGUCUGCGCUGUAUAGGAGGGGUCUGCGCUGUAUAGGGGGGUCUGCGCUGUAUAUGGGGGGUCUGUGCAGUAUAUGGGGGUCUGCACUGUAUAUGGGGGGCUGCGCAGUAUAUUGUGGGGUCUGUGAAGUAUAUUGGGGUGGCCUGUGUGUUAGAUGGAGGGGCUGUUUGUUACAUGUGGGGGGGCAGUGUAUUAUAUUUGGGGGCUGUGCGUUAGAUGGGGAGCUGUACAGUACGUGUGGCCUGUGUGUUAGAUUUGUACAACCCUAGUUUCACAGAAAAAUAUUUAUUUCCUAGAUAUCAUAUGCCAUGGCAUGCUUUUUGCUAUGAAACCGCAGCCAUCUAGUCACUCGCCAGAGAAGGAUGAGAAACUGCACCCCAGCGAGAGGGACAGCCCCACAUCUACAACCAAAUCCGUCGGUCACUGAAUUCAGUAAUCUCCGUCUCUUUGUGCAUUGUGUAUGUAUGGUACUCCCAAUUCUUAUAUUUAAUCCGGUGUGUCUCCCACAAUCUUUGUAUCUGUCUGCUGUAUGUAUGUGGCACGCAAGUCUGCAUGCACUGUGUCUGUUAUGCCAGUUACUCUAACCAGUUUAUUUCUUUUUGUGUGUGUCACAGCUCUGACAAGCAUGUUCUCCUAUGGGACACGAAGUACAUGAAGAGGAAUGAAGAAGCCCAUGUUUGAUGCUCGUUUCCAGGGUGGAGUAUUGAAUUUAUAACUAAUGAAGUGGCAUCUGACACAUGACAAGCUGCUCCUGUUUGCACAGCAACUUCAACAUUGUGUACUGUGAUCACGGCAUAGUUCAGAGGUAGGUAACCUUGGGCAGUCCAGAUGCUGUGAAUUACAUCUCCAUAAUGCUGGCAAACCAUCAUGGGAGGUGUAGUGCAAAACAUCUGGAAUACCAGGAUGGCACAUCAAUGUGAGCUGUGGCAAGAAGGUUUGCUGUGUCUGUCAGCGUAGUGUCCAGAGCAUGGAGGCGCUACCAGGAGACAGGCCAGUACAUUAGGAGAAGUGGAGGAGGCCGUAGGAGGGCAACAACCCAGCAGCAGGAAUGCUACCUCCGCCUUUGUGCAAGGAGGAACAGGAGGAGCACUGCCCUGCAAAAUGACCUCCAGCAGGCCACAAAUGUGCAUGUGUCUGCUCAAACGGUCAGAAACAGACUCCAUGAGGGUAAUAUGAGGGCCCGACGUCCACAGGGGGAAGUUGUGCUUACAGCCCAACACCAUGCAGGACGUUUGGCAUUUGCCAGAGAACACCAAGAUUGGCAAAUUCGCCACUCACUCCCUGUGCUCUUCACAGAUGAAAGCAGAUUCACACUGAGCACAUGUGACAGACGUGACAGAGUCUGGAGACGCCGUGGAGAACUUUCUGAUGCCUGCAACAUCCUCCAGCAUGACCGGUUUGGCAGUGGGUCAGUAAUGGUGUGGGUGGCAUUUCUUUGGGGGGCCGCACAACCCUCCAUGUGCUCGCCUGACUGCCAUUAGGUCCAGAGAUGAGAUCCUCAGACCCCUUGUGAGACCAUAUGCUGGUGCGGUUGGCCCUGGGUUCCUGCUAAUGCAAGACAAUGCUAGACCUCAUGUGGCUGGAGUGUGUCAGCAGUUCCUGCAAGACGAAGGCAUUGAUGCUAUGGACUGGCCUGCCCGUUCCCCAGACCUGAAUCCAAUUGAGCACAUCUGGGACAUAAUGUCUCGCUCCAUCCACCAACGUCACGUUGCACCACAGACUGUCUAGGAGUUGGUAGAUGCUUUAGUCCAGGACUGGGAGGAGAUACCUUAGGAGACCAUCCGCCACCUCAUCAGGAGCAAGCAUAGGUGUUGUAGGGAGGUCAUACAGGCACGAAGGAGGACACACACUACAACUGAGCCUCAUUUUGACUUGUUUUAAGGACAUUACAUCAAAGUUGGAUCAGCCUGUAGUGUGUUUUUCCACUUUAAUUUUGAGCGUGACUCCAAAUCCAGACCUCCAUGGGUUGAAAAAUUAGAUUUCCAUUUUUUAACUUUUGUGUGAUUUUGUUGUCAGCACAUUCAACUAUGUAAAGAACAAAGUAUUUCAGAAGAAUAUUUAAUUCAUUUAGAUCUAGGAUGUGUUAUUUUUGUGUUCCCUCCCAUACAUAUUGUUACGGUUGCCUCCAGGCUGGCUGGAAGUUGGACCGUAGAAAGGAUGCUCCUAGCGCUCACCGAAGGACCAUCAGCACCGUAAACACUAUAAGCACUGCAGACUCCACAAACCGCCGAUGCUGGGCUGGGAUCCCGCCGUCUGCUUUCCACCCUGGACAUACGACCAGGCUCCAGGUUCCAGUAGGUGAACCUCUUCCUUCUGUAGAGCGAAGCAGGAUCAGGAACAAGAGCUCUUACAAAAGCUCUUGCUAAGGGAGUAUGAAGAGCAUAGCAAUCCCUGUAGUGAUUAUAGCUGUCCCCUACAAACAUGAGUCGAGGCUGCAAGUUAGAGGGUCAAGUAGUUCUGUUUAAUUGGCACCAAAAGGCCUUCUUUUAUGGAGGUCUUACACAUACAAGACCGCCUACAGGGUUUUACAGAACAACUAAUAAACACGUAACAUACAGUAAAAACACACCCAUCAAUAACACACAAAUCCUCCCCUCUGCC